rnacentral:piRNA from 1 species
GGGACUCAGAGAAGACAGCUCCUGG